UACGAAGGGGGCUAGCGUUGUUCGGAAUUACUGGGCGUAAAGCGCACGUAGGCGGCUUUGCAAGUCAGAGGUGAAAACCCGGGGCUCAACCCCGGAAUUGCCUUUGAGACUGCAUCGCUAGAAUUGUGGAGAGGUAAGUGGAAUUCCGAGUGUAGAGGUGAAAUUCGUAGAUAUUCGGAAGAACACCAGUGGCGAAGGCGACUUACUGGACACAUAUUGACGCUGAGGUGCGAAAGCGUGGGGAGCAAACAGG
rnacentral:rRNA from 1 species